rnacentral:snoRNA from 1 species
UGGCUGAAUACCGUGUUCUUUUUGUCAGUAUGUUACACAGCCUAACACCA